GAUGAAGAACGCAGCGAAAUGCGAUAAGUAAUGUGAAUUGCAGAAUUCAGUGAAUCAUCGAAUCUUUGAACGCACAUUGCGCCCCUUGGUAUUCCGAGGGGCAUGCCUGUUCGAGCGUCAUUAUAACCCCUCAAGCUCAGCUUGGUGUUGGGGCCUGCUGCACUGGCAGCCCUUAAAAUCAGUGGCGGCGCCAUCUGGCUCUAAGCGUAGUAAUUCUUCUCGCUAUGGAGUCCUGGUGGAUGCUUGCCAUCAACCCCCAAUUUUUCUAUGGUUGACCUCGGAUCAGGUAGGGAUACCCGCUGAACUUAAGCAUAUCAUAAGCGGAGGA
rnacentral:misc_RNA from 1 species